GUAUAUGUUAACGUUUUACAGUGAUGAGAGCCUAUCAGCGGGAAGAAGACUGACCCUGUAGCCGUUCCUAAAGGCAGAGACUCUCAGGACUCUCACGAUGCCUGCCACCUGUAUUCACAAGAGGAAAGGCUGCACAAGACCUCCCUCCAGGCUGGAGUCCCCGCCUUGCACCCCUCCCAGCUCACCUCCCGUCCGCGGAGCUGGCCCCUUGCCCAGGGGUGGCUGGGGAGCACUGUGUGGUCAGUCCAGAUGGGGCCGGCUGCUGGUUCCAGUCGCCUGUCAGUCAUCAUGUUUCCGCAAAUCAGGAAGGAUGCUCCUUGCUCAGCAGUCCUGCCUUCUGCAGACAACUCCAUGACCUGGUGUCCCCACCGGGAAACUCCAGCCCUGAGCCCGUGGAGCCCUGUACAGGAACAUCAGUGGCAGCCUGUUCAGUUCAGCAGAACCUGGGGAUCGGCCUGCUGUCCAGCAUCAGGGGAAGGAAGGAUCAAACUGAAAUGCGGCCAUGUGAGAGAACAAUACAGGAGGGAAAAACACAAGAGGCAAAUGAGACAACGUAUGACCGACCACAUUCAUGCAAGCUUAGAAACAUACAUGCAAAACAGGACUCCUUUGUUUACCGAUGCUGAUUAUCAACAAUAAAUGUCGGGG